AAUGAACGCUAGCGGCAGGCCUAAUACAUGCAAGUCGAACGGUGUAGCAAUACACAGUGGCGCACGGGUGCGUAACACGUAUGCAACCUACCUAUUAUUGGGGGAUAGCCUUUGGAAACGGAGAUUAAUACCGCAUAAGACAGUGACAUGGCAUCAUGUAGCUGUUAAAGCUUUGGCGAUAAUAGAUGGGCAUGCGUCCAAUUAGUUAGUUGGUGAGGUAAUGGCUCACCAAGACGAUGAUUGGUAGGGGAUCUGAGAGGAUAAUCCCCCACACUGGAACUGAGAUACGGGCUAGACUCCUACGGGAGGCAGCAGUAGGGAAUAUUGGGCAAUGGACGGAAGUCUGACCCAGCCAUGCCGCGUGCAGGAUGACGGCGUUAUGCGUUGUAAACUGCUUUUUUAUAGGAAGAAGAAGCCCUUGCGAGGGAAAGUGACGGUACUAUAAGAAUAAGCACCGGCUAACACCGUGCCAGCAGCCGCCGUAAGAC
rnacentral:rRNA from 1 species